rnacentral:rRNA from 1 species
CAAUAGCGUAUAUUAAUGUUGUUGCAGUUAAAAAGCUCGUAGUUGGAUUUCUGGUGGGAGCGGCCGUUCCGCCGUAAGGUGUGUACUUGGUUGUCUCCUGUCAUCCUUGUGGGAACUGCUCUGGCAUUAAGUUGUCGGGGUUAGGGAACACAUCGUUUACUGUGAAAAAAUUAGAGUGUUUAAAGCAGGCUUAUGCCGUUGAAUACAUUAGCAUGGAAUAAUAAGAUAGGACUUUGGCGUCUAUUUUGUUGGUUUGCACACCAAGGUAAUGAUUAAUAGGGAUAGUUGGGGGUAUUCGUAUUUAAUUGUCAGAGGUGAAAUUCUUGGAUUUAUGAAAGACGAACUUCUGCGAAAGCAUUUACCAAAGAUGUUUUCAUUAA